CACCACGCGCCUCACACCGAAGUUCUUGGCAGCCUGCAGCACAUUAAUCGUGCCCUGCACCGCAGGCAAUACAAGCUCCAUCUGCGGGUCCUUAGGGUCCUCUAGCGUACANGGGAGAGGCCACGUGGAAAACCCCCCGACAGCCCUCAACGGCCUUGGCAACGGCGUCGUAGUCAAGAACGUCGGCCUCGAAGAUACGAAGUUGGACGUUAGAGUAGGCGGCGGAAGGGAGG
rnacentral:misc_RNA from 1 species